GACGAACGCUGGCGGCGUGCUUAACACAUGCAAGUCGAACGAUGAAGAAGAGAAACGCGAACUUCGGUUCAAAUUUCACUUCGGAUUAGUGGCAGACGGGUGAGUAACGCGUGAGCAACCUACCUCUUACAAAGGGAUAGCCUCGGGAAACCGUGAUUAAUACCAUAUGACACAUUCAUAAGGCAUCUUAAGAAUGUUAAAGCUACGGCGGUAAGAGAUGGGCUCGCGUCCCAUUAGCUAGUUGGUGAGGUAACGGCCCACCAAGGCGACGAUGGGUAACCGGCCUGAGAGGGUGAACGGUCACAGUGGAACUGAGACACGGUCCAAACUCCUACGGGGGGCAGCAGUGGGGAAUAUUGCACAAUGGAGGGAACUCUGAUGCAGCGACGCCGCGUGAGCGAUGAAGGAAUUCGUUUCGUAAAGCUCUGUUCUAUGGGAAGAAAAGGACUGUACCAUAGGAGAAAGCCCCGGCUAAAUACGUG
rnacentral:rRNA from 1 species